AGAUUGAACGCUGGCGGCAUGCCUUACACAUGCAAGUCGAACGGCAGCGCGGGGCAACCUGGCGGCGAGUGGCGAACGGGUGAGUAAUAUAUCGGAACGUACCCUGGAGUGGGGGAUAACGUAGCGAAAGUUACGCUAAUACCGCAUACGAUCUAAGGAUGAAAGUGGGGGCUUCGCAAGAACCUCAUGCUCCUGGAGCGGCCGAUAUCUGAUUAGCUAGUUGGUGGGUAAAGGCCUACCAAGGCAUCGAUCAGUAGCUGGUCUGAGAGGACGACCAGCCACACUGGAACUGAGACACGGUCCAGACUCCUACGGGAGGCAGCAGUGGGGAAUUUUGGACAAUGGGCGAAAGCCUGAUCCAGCAAUGCCGCGUGAGUGAAGAAGGCCCUCGGGUUGUAAAGCUCUUUUGGCGGGGACGAUAAUGACGGUACCCGCAGAAUAAGCCCGGCUAACUUCGUGCCAGCAGCCGC
rnacentral:rRNA from 1 species